UUUUACCCUUGCUCUUCAAAUGAUGACUAACCUAUGAACAUAAUCUUACACGCGAGAUUUUCUGUUCUCCCUCCCAGUUAGUACUUGCCUUUUAGCCAAACCAAACAAUGUAUUAGUUAAGAUCUGUCUUAGACAAUUUCUGAUAAAAUUGAACCAUAAGAAGAAGACUUGAGGCACAGUCACAGUUUUCUAGGUGCUCAGCUAGCUCCAUCUCCAUCUUUG
rnacentral:misc_RNA from 1 species